CGAAAAAUAGGCUUGCUUGGCAUUUUUGUUACCGCUCUUCCUUGUUCCAAUUGUCAACCUUUUGCCCCUUCUCUUCGAUUUCAUCAUGGCAAAGGUUUAUAGAUUAUUUGGGAAGGAGUAUCAAAAACCUGCAAGGGUUCCUUCAGCUUGUCCGUAUAAAUCAUCGGCCACCAAACCC